rnacentral:rRNA from 1 species
GAUGAACGCUGGCGGCGUGCUUAACACAUGCAAGUCGAGCGAAGCGGUUUUAAGGAAGUUUUCGGAUGGAAUUAAAAUUGACUUAGCGGCGGACGGGUGAGUAACGCGUGGGUAACCUGCCUCAUACAGGGGGAUAACAGUUAGAAAUGACUGCUAAUACCGCAUAAGCGCACAGUGCUGCAUAGCACAGUGUGAAAAACUCCGGUGGUAUGAGAUGGACCCGCGUCUGAUUAGGUAGUUGGUGAGGUAAUGGCUCACCAAGCCGACGAUCAGUAGCCGACCUGAGAGGGUGACCGGCCACAUUGGGACUGAGACACGGCCCAAACUCCUACGGGAGGCAGCAGUGGGGAAUAUUGGACAAUGGGGGAAACCCUGAUCCAGCGACGCCGCGUGAGUGAAGAAGUGUUUCGGCAUGUAAAGCUCUAUCAGCAGGGAAGAAAAUGACGGUACCUGACUAAGAAGCCCCGGCUAACUACGUGCCAGCAGCCGCCGUAAAAC